ACGUGUGUCUGCUAAUUGGUUCCAUGUGGUCUGGUGCGCGUUUGCUUUGCUUGAUUAUGUUAACUUCAACAGUGAGACUGAUCGUUAGAAUCUGUUUUCAGGCAAAUGUGCUAUGGCUUAGCAAGUAACGUAUUCGCUUUUGUAAUGUUAGCCGUAUCUGGACCUGAUUCGCCCCUUCUUGCUUUCGCACCAUCAAGUGCAGCAGGCAUUGGGCCGCAUUCACCAACCAUUCUUAAGAACAAAUUUGUUAGUAAAACCUACGAGUGAAGUUUACAUAAAGAUCAUGGCAUUCGCCUUUUUUUAAAUCUGGGAUUUGUUCUUAGUGUCUUUCAGAUAUUUUGGCCAGCAUUCAGGCUGUCUGGAAGCGUUUGGUUGUCCAGCACCACAUCCGAGAUCAGACUCAGGGCAGUUGAAGGGACCUAGGUGCACAGCUGGUCCGGCUCGGAUAACUGGGCCAGCCUGUCCUCCUCCACUGGCGGCAGUGGUCAGAGGAACCUGUCUCUGCUGGCACAGUGAACACAGCCAAGGUGCUGAAGAUGAUCACCAGCAAUGGGAGAAACAAUGCUUUAUAUUGUCCCUCUUCAAGAACAAAUUGAUAAUACACUCCUCCUCCAUUAAGUUGUGGACAGUGCACUUGAAGACCUGCUGAGUAUGUCACCAAGUCCAGAACUCAAAGCCACACAACUCAGUGAAGAAGGUAACCUGAACUUCAUGGGUUCACACUACAGAUCGAUGAUGUAGCUUGACAUCUGGACAACAAUUCAGAUGGCAACAAUGACAAUCAUCCCUACACAGUGAUCCAGAAUUGUACAACAGGAUUCUUGAGGAUGUGCACUGACACAGGCAAAUUUCUGUUUAUGGUUGUUUAUUAGAGAAAUCAAAUGAGGCUUUACAGAGACUCCAUACAGACCCCCCCUUCCCCCCACCACCAGAACCAGGGUCUUGUGGGAGGAGAGUGGGACAAAGCAUCAAGACAAAACAAACAGACAAAGGGCAGGUUAAUGUGGUCAGUGACACCUGCAGAAAAGGUACAAGGGGGGAGAGGGGAGACAAUGGUGGCAAACAAAUGCAUAGGGAGUGAGGAGAGGAUUUUCUAAAUGGUAAUAUUUACCAGACUACAGAGCCUGUUGCAUGCUUGUUUUUUUUUUUGUUUUUUUUUUUUAAGUUGAGAAUA